rnacentral:misc_RNA from 1 species
AGUUUCUCACUUAGAAUCAAAACCUGCAGUUACAAAGUAGCAUAACAGUAAAUUAAAUCAGCAAAAAAGGCCUUUCUGUAAUAAAACUUAGCUCAAGAAAGACUUUAAUAAAGACAAGUAACUAUGAUGAAAAAGAAGAGGGUUUGCGUCAGACAACACAUAGAAGUACAAGCUAUUCCCUUCAAUUAAUAAUGAGUACACAAGCAAUCAUACAGUGAUCAAGGUAACAACCAUAAUUGAACCUGGGAUUAUUGGACAUUUGCAUAUGCCAGUUACAUUUAAGGCAAGCCAAGUCCUGAUUUUCAGGAGUAAAAUAUCCAGUUAAGACAAAUACUUGCCAGGCUAGUCCAUGUGUGAAUGCCCUUCAGGCAGUAUCAAAAUAGCAAGCCACAGAUUUCCAAUAUGCAGCCUCACCCUCCUCUAUGCAUGUGUACAUCAGUAAUUCAGUAGGCAUAUGAUGGCCUAAAUGAUUCUCAAUAAGGAAGAAGCCCAAAUCUUAAUCUAAAUUUAGUCAAAUGAGUUAUAACUGAACCUCACAAUAACACUUAUUUCAAGCAAUUAUCCAUUUUACUAUAUUUACUUUACAAUUUACUAUCAAAAUUCAGAGUCCAUAAUUGGAUUUUAUUCUUACUACAAGUGACACAUAGAAGAAUCAUAUCUAUACAAAAUAACAAUCUUCAUUCAUACUCAGUUAUCAUAGGAAAAGGGAGGAAAAAAGGGAUGAUUUGCCAAGGCACGCAAACACUCCAGCCCUUCACCAGUAUAUUUUAUAUAUAAUCAAUAAGCAUAAUAAAAAAUUAAGAAAAGCAGUCUCACCACCCCAUGUUUGUGUGCUACA